GAUGAACACUGGCGGCGUGCCUAAUACAUGCAAGUCGAGCGAAUGGAUUAAGAGCUUGCUCUUAUGAAGUUAGCGGCGGACGGGUGAGUAACACGUGGGUAACCUGCCCAUAAGACUGGGAUAACUCCGGGAAACCGGGGCUAAUACCGGAUAACAUUUUGAACCGCAUGGUUCGAAAUUGAAAGGCGGCUUCGGCUGUCACUUAUGGAUGGACCCGCGUCGCAUUAGCUAGUUGGUGAGGUAACGGCCCACCAAGGCAACGAUGCGUAGCCGACCGGAGAGGGUGAGCGGCCACAGUGGGACGGAGACACGGCCCAGACUCCUACGGGAGGCAGUAGUAGGGAAUCUUCCGCAAUGGACGAAAGUCUGACGGAGCAACGCCGCGUGAGUGAUGAAGGCUUUCGGGUCGUAAAACUCUGUUGUUAGGGAAGAACAAGUGCUAGUUGAAUAAGCUGGCACCUUGACGGUACCUAACCAGAAAGCCACGGCUAACUACGUGCCAGCCGCCGCAGUAA
rnacentral:rRNA from 1 species